rnacentral:misc_RNA from 1 species
UUGGAUAUUACUAGUCGACUGUAAAUCUCUCCCUUUGGAAGACCGCCUUCAUUCGAUGAAUGAUAUUUCUCAACCGUGACGUAUUUUCUUUGCAUUUUCGAACGUGGUCAUAGAGCGACGUGACAAGAAUUAAUUGCUCCGGAUUUUGAGACUAAACGUGGCUGGGUGUCAUAGAUAGUUUUGGAGAACAGGAAAUGUGCGACGGGGCUGUUUCUUCACUGGACAUCCGGCUCGCCACGCGUCUGCGUGUGUCUUGCUUGACGUCACAACACACACCUGCUUCCUCACAGCUGUUCCCCAGGAAGUAUCGCACUGGGAGCUACCAACCCUCUAUGAACGCAAGGAUACGUGUUUUACAAACGCCAUAUACACACACACAUACGGCAUCGAUUGACCCAGUCGCAACAGAUGCAAGAAUCGUGUUAUUUCCUUCUUCAUCUCUCCCGCUACCGCCUCUUUUUCCUUUGACUCUCCUUUUUUCUCAUUGGGAUGCACGUAUUCCCCAGAGACAUUUCUGGAAGGGAUGACGAACCCGACUGGUUAACUAGAGUAUUGUUCGAUUAUUAUUUCGGUACAUAUCGCGCACUUGUUAUCUCUUUGUGCGGUCAUAUGGUGGUCUAAGGGUGAUCCCACCGCGGAUGACAGAUCUGUCGUAUGGAAUCGUCAGAAGUAUCAGUGUUCAUCCACAAUUUCAUACUACGUAAUAUUUCAUUCAAUCCAUAUAAGGAACUUUUUACGAAGAAUUAUUUAAAACACAAAUUUUAAAUCUAAUUUAUAUCAUCUUAGCUUUCGAGGUUCAAUAAUCAUGGUUAUUUCUUUCUCAUAGAUAUUUCAUUUUGAAACAGUCAUUAAGGGAAAACGUCGUAAUUUUGUCAACACGCAGAAAAUCUUUACGGAUGGAUAAUGAUGUUCAGGACGUAUCUGCGGUGAAUCGUACGGGGUGUUUUUACCUUUCCCCGACCACAGAGUAUCGAUGGUGUUCACGAGGGUGUUCA